rnacentral:rRNA from 1 species
AGCAGCCGCGGUAAUUCCAGCUCCAAUAGCGUAUAUUAAAGUUGUUGCAGUUAAAAAGCUCGUAGUUGAAUUUCGGGAUCAGUUGAUCGGUCGUGCCUCGGUACGUACUGGUCAAAUUGAUUCCUACCUUCUGACGAACCACGAUGUCAUUAAUUUGGUGUCGCGGGAAAUCAGGACUGUUACUUUGAAAAAAUUAGAGUGUUUAAAGCAGGCUCGCGCUUGAAUACAUUAGCAUGGAAUAAUGAAAUAGGACGUUUGAUUCUAUUUUGUUGGUUUCUAGGAUCGACGUAAUGAUUAAUAGGGAUAGUUGGGGGCAUUAGUAUUCAAUUGUCAGAGGUGAAAUUCUUGGAUUUAUUGAAGACUAACUACUGCGAAAGCAUUUGCCAAGGAUGUUUUCAUUAAUCAAGAACGAAAGUUAGGGGAUCGAAGACGAUCAGAUACCGUCGUAGUCUUAACCAUAAACUAUGCCGACUAGGGAUCGGAUGAUGUUAAUUUUUUAAUGACUCAUUCGGCGCCUUACG